AGAGUUUGAUCAUGGCUCAGAUUGAACGCUGGCGGCAUGCCUUACACAUGCAAGUCGAACGGCAGCAUGAUCUAGCUUGCUAGAUUGAUGGCGAGUGGCGAACGGGUGAGUAAUACAUCGGAACGUGCCCUGUAGUGGGGGAUAACUAGUCGAAAGAUUAGCUAAUACCGCAUACGACCUGAGGGUGAAAGUGGGGGACCGCAAGGCCUCAUGCUAUAGGAGCGGCCGAUGUCUGAUUAGCUAGUUGGUGAGGUAAAGGCUCACCAAGGCGACGAUCAGUAGCUGGUCUGAGAGGACGAUCAGCCACACUGGGACUGAGACACGGCCCAGACUCCUACGGGAGGCAGCAGUGGGGAAUUUUGGACAAUGGGCGAAAGCCUGAUCCAGCAAUGCCGCGUGUGUGAAGAAGGCCUUCGGGUUGUAAAGCACUUUUGUCCGGAAAGAAAUGGCUCUGGUUAAUACCUGGGGUCGAUGACGGUACCGGAAGAAUAAGGACCGGCUAACUACGUGCCAGCAGCCGCGGUAAUACGUAGGGUCCAAGCGUUAAUCGGAAUUACUGGGCGUAAAGCGUGCGCAGGCGGUUGUGCAAGACCGAUGUGAAAUCCCCGAGCUUAACUUGGGAAUUGCAUUGGUGACUGCACGGCUAGAGUGUGUCAGAGGGGGGUAGAAUUCCACGUGUAGCAGUGAAAUGCGUAGAGAUGUGGAGGAAUACCGAUGGCGAAGGCAGCCCCCUGGGAUAACACUGACGCUCAUGCACGAAAGCGUGGGGAGCAAACAGGAUUAGAUACCCUGGUAGUCCACGCCCUAAACGAUGUCAACUAGUUGUUGGGGAUUCAUUUCCUUAGUAACGUAGCUAACGCGUGAAGUUGACCGCCUGGGGAGUACGGUCGCAAGAUUAAAACUCAAGGAAUUGACGG
rnacentral:rRNA from 1 species